UUUUAUGGAGAGUUUGAUCCUGGCUCAGGAUGAACGCUGGCGGCGUGCCUAAUACAUGCAAGUCGAGCGAACGGACGAGAAGCUUGCUUCUCUGAUGUUAGCGGCGGACGGGUGAGUAACACGUGGAUAACCUACCUAUAAGACUGGGAUAACUUCGGGAAACCGGAGCUAAUACCGGAUAAUAUUUUGAACCGCAUGGUUCAAAAGUAAAAGACGGUCUUGCUGUCACUUAUAGAUGGAUCCGCGCUGCAUUAGCUAGUUGGUAAGGUAACGGCUUACCAAGGCAACGAUGCAUAGCCGACCUGAGAGGGUGAUCGGCCACACUGGAACUGAGACACGGUCCAGACUCCUACGGGAG
rnacentral:rRNA from 1 species